rnacentral:rRNA from 1 species
UACGGGGGGGGCAAGCGUUGUUCGGAAUUACUGGGCGUAAAGGGUUCGUAGGUGGCCGACUUAGUCAGACGUGAAAUCCCUCAGCUCAACUGGGGAACUGCGUCUGAUACUGGCCGGCUUGAGUGCAGGAGAGGAACGCGGAAUUCCAGGUGUAGCGGUGAAAUGCGUAGAUAUCUGGAGGAACACCGGUGGCGAAGGCGGCGUUCUGGACUGCAACUGACACUGAGGAACGAAAGCCAGGGGAGCAAACGGG